CGUGGAUAACCUGCCUCACACAGGGGAGUAACAGUUAGAAAUGACUGCUAAUAUCGCAUAAGCGCACGGCAUCGCAUGAUGCAGUGUGAAAAACUCCGGUGGUGUGAGAUGGAUCCGCGUCUGAUUAGGUAGUUGGUGGGGUAACGGCCCACCAAGCCGACGAUCAGUAGCCGACCUGAGAGGGUGACCGGCCACAUUGGGACUGAGACACGGCCCAA
rnacentral:rRNA from 1 species